rnacentral:ncRNA from 5 species
AGUGACGCGCAUGAAUGGAUUAA